AUUAGGCGAAACCAAAACUAUAUGAACAUUCUCCGGUUCCUGGCCCUGGGCGACAAGAAGCUGAGUCCCUUUAACAUCACUCACCGCUUCACGCACCUCUUCUGGUUUGGGGAUCUUAACUACCGUGUGGAUCUGCCUACCUGGGAGGCAGAAACCAUCAUCCAGAAAAUCAAGCAGCAGCAGUACGCAGACCUCCUGUCCCACGACCAGCUGCUCACAGAGAGGAGGGAGCAGAAGGUCUUCCUACACUUCGAGGAGGAAGAAAUCACGUUUGCCCCAACCUACCGUUUUGAGAGACUGACUCGGGACAAAUACGCCUACACCAAGCAGAAAGCGACAGGGGUGAGUCCUCUUCAUAGACACCUUCCCUGCCCUCCAUCUCCUCCCAGCUGGUGUCUGUUCCCAAAAGGUGAACAGAAAGUGUCUUCAUCCAUUAGGC
rnacentral:sRNA from 1 species